rnacentral:lncRNA from 1 species
CUGUUUAUUACAAGAUGAAUUAAUUUAUACAUCCUUUAGCAGUACAUGUUCUUCACAUGUCAUUCAAAAGUUCCAUACAGAAAAAUAUUUAAAAACAGAUCAAAACAUAGUGACUUUCAAAUUAAUAUAGAGGACCUUAUUGAUUUGAAAUACAUAUUUUGAAGAUGAUUUUUAAACAACUAAUUUUUAUAUUUAUCAUGCACUUUGUUAAACUUGACAUGUUAAAAUCAUUAAAAUGAUUUUACUAUUCUGCUUUAACCAAUAAAACAAACUUAAAUAUUUCUGUUUGACUUAGUUUAUCCUUAGGGUGUGGUGUGAAGCUUAUUAUUGUUAUUACUAUGAUGAUGAUGAUGAGGCAGGACCUUGCUCUGUCACCGGCAUUGAAGUGCAAUUGUGCGACCAUGGCUCGCUGCAGCCUUGACCUCCCGGGAUCAAGUAAUCCUCCCACCUCAUCCUCCUGAAAAUCUGGGACUACCACACCUGAAUAAUUUCAUAUUUUUUUUAUAGAGAUGAGAUCUCCAUAUAUUGCCCAGACUGGUGUCCAACUUCUGGACUCAAAUGGUCCACCCUCCUCAGCUUUCCAAAGUGCUUGGAUUACAGAUAAGAGCCACUGUGACUGGCCUAUUUGCUUAUUAUUUUAAGUCAUUUAAAAAAUGAGCUUUUCUGAAAAUAGCUGAGAAAAAGCAAAUUAACAUUUUGAACAGUAAUGUCAAAUUAAAUUUUAGAAAAAUAUAGUGGAAAACAUGACUUGUUUUUCAGAACCAAGAUUUUAUUAAAGGGAAUGGAUAGAGAGGAAAUAGACAAAAGGAAAAUUGUUUUUGCAGAUAAAACAAAAAUUACUUUUUAAAAUGUAGUUAAAAUUUAGUGAUAAUAGAAUAUAGAAAAAAUGAAAAGUUUUAGUUCAGGGAAAACUGCAUAAGGUUUGAAAGUAUUACAAAUCAAACUAGUGCUAUAUACUAUGGCUAUCCAAUUUCAUAAUUAAAUGGACAAAACUAGAAUAAAAUUAUUUGGGGGAAUUUUUUAAGUACCAUAAAUUUCUUCAGAUUAUUGAUAGAUGUGUAGAAAAUAAAAAGGAACUAUUUGUUUCUUGCAUUUUCCAGUAAUUAAAUGGAAACAUUCAGGUUCAAAUUGCAUAAAGUUAAACAAAUACAAUAACUACUAAGAAUUUAUAAAACGAAAUUAAAUAAAAAUCUGUUAAACCGUUACCCAGAUUUCAGUAUAAGAAUAAGGCAUAGUUAAAUAAUCGAAAAUGAAGUAAAUAAUACUAUAAUUUCCAAAAAUGUUGAAUUUUGAGAUUACAUGUAUGUCAUACACCCCCAUUUUUUCAGAUAGGUAAAAUGAAGUUCAGAACGGUUAUAGGUAACUCAUGCCAACUCAAUAGGAAGUGUCAGAACACAGCUUAGAACACAAAUUUUUUCAUUUCAAGCUUCCAAACUCUUUUCCCUAUAUUUUAGCCUUCAUGGUAGGUAAUGUUUUCUGUCUUUUGUAAAAGGGACCUGACUGUAUCUUUCUCUAGGUUGCUUUCACUCAUGCAUAUACACAUGCAGAGUUAAGAAGAGCCAUUUAUUAUCCCUGAAUAAUUUCACUGUAAGUCCUACUUAAGUAGAAAUAACUUAGGAUAACAACUUGUUAAAUAAAUUAGCUCCACAUGAUAUAUGUAAUUUAGUAUUAUGAAGAAAGUUUUUAAAAAUAUAAAAAUGAUGUGAAGUGUGAAUAGCCUUGGAAUAUAAGUUCAGCAUUUUUUGAUUUCUUGAAUGAAACACACUUUGUAGUUACACAGCAAAAGUGAAUUCAGCCCAGUUUAGAUAGCCAAUUCAGAUAACUUGGGAACAAACAAUAAUCCCUUCCUGUCCCUGGAUCACCUCUACUUAAGUCAGUUUCCUCAUGACAUAUGCUUAUUUAUUGUUCAGAAAACAUUCUAUUAACUGAGCUACCAGUAAAGAUGAUUUUCUUAAAUUUUGCAUGACCUUUGAAUAUAAAAUAUUUUUCUCUUCACAAAAUUAGUUUAAAACUGAAGACCUCUUACAUAAUAGUUAUGAAUAUCAUUCUCUAUUUGAAGGUUGGAAAUUAUAAAAAUUCAGGGUAUGUGCAAACAAUCAUUUUUUGACAUGUUUUCUAAGAAGCAGCUCCUCAUCUAUCUCCCAUUGUGGGGCAUGGGUCUACAUUGACAGCCACCUCUUCAGCUACACAGGUUGAAGGUCCAUGUGGGCCUGAAAUGCCAUUCUCCAGAGGCACUCCCACACAAAGCGCCUUCUCCCAUGUGCCAUGACUUCUUUACCAGAUCAGCAUUCUAAUUUUUUUGAAUAUAGGUUUGUUGGGCUUUUCAACUAAUAAGUAUCUAUAUUGGUAAGCUUAGUAUAUUUUGGUUAUGAAAAAUCAUAUAUUUGGUGACCCAAGAUUUAUUCAUUUAUAAACUCAUAAAUUUCAUCUACCUAUGUUGUAGAAUGUUGUGUUGUAUCUGUUAAGGGUGUUUAGCAAUGUAUUUACCUAUUUCUUAGUAAAAGUCAUAUUUGUAUAAGGUUUUCUUGUCUGUGAAGGAAUUUUAUAGGCACUAUUGCAUUUAAAUGCAAAGCUCUUUAUUAAAAUAUUUAUCUCUGCUUGUUAGAUAAUGAUGCAGAGGCUCAGAAUUAAAGAUAGAUUACUAAAAUCACAGUGGAUUACUUUUCAAAACAGUGACAAACCUAUCUUUUAAAACUCUGGGUGAAGUUCUGCAGUUUGUUUUACUGUAGGUAUUUAUUUGCAUGCUGUUAACAAGUAUCUGAAAUUGGCACAUAGGCCAUCUCUGUUUAGGUUCACAGGUAUCUGUGUUCUUGUUCACUGAUUACCUCCAUUUUUACCAGUAUACUAUAACCUGUUAUCAACCAGGUUUUUAUUGUUUUCUAUUUUUUUUUUAGAAAUUCUUAGUGAUAAUUAUCCUUUCUUAAAUCAACAAAACAAACACUUGUACCAGAACUUGAAAAUUUGUCAAAGCUAAAUGUAUAUAUUAUUUGGUUAAAUGAAUAUAAAUAUUGCAUAGCAGUUUCCCCCCUCAAUUUCAAUUUUGUUGCGUAAUUUAUGGAUUUUUACCUUAGUUAUUUUAUAUUUUCUCAAGUUUAGUGAGGAGUUAGUUGAUAUGUUUCUUACUAUCCAUACUUUUUAAUAACAUCAUUUAAGAACUUGAAUAGAUUCAUAAUAAUGGUUUGUGAAUCUUAAAACUUUUCAAAAAACUAUUUCUUGACAUUGAUCCAUCUUAAAAUUAUUCUUUCCUUUGAUUAAUUUUUCAUUACUUAGUAAUGUUUCAAUAAGAACACUGCAUCUUACAAACAUUGUGAUCAUUAGGAAAUGUGUAUAGAUUUAUAAAAAUC